AUUGAACGCUGGCGGCAGGCCUAACACAUGCAAGUCGAACGAGUGGCGGACGGGUGAGUAAUGUCUGGGAAACUGCCCGGUGGAGGGGGAUAACUACUGGAAACGGUAGCUAAUACCGCAUACCAUCGGAUGUGCCCAAAUGGGAUUAGCUAGUAGGUGGGGAAACGGCUCACCAAGGCGACGAUCCGUAGCUGGUCUGAGAGGAUGACCAGCCACACUGGAACUGAGACACGGUCCAGACUCCUACGGGAGGCAGCAGUGGGGAAUAUUGCACAAUGGGCGAAAGCCUGAUCCAGCCAUGCCGCGUGUAUGAAGAAGGCCUUCGGGUUGUAAAGUACUUUUGGCAGGGAGGCGGUACUCGCAGAAUAAGCACCGGCUAACUCCGUGCCAGCAGCCGCGGUAAUAC
rnacentral:rRNA from 1 species